rnacentral:lncRNA from 1 species
CGAGGGGCUUGGAAGGUAGGGUGAUUGAAUAAUUCAUUGAGAAAUUGGAAAAGUAGGAGAGAAUUGCUGACAGUUCGUAGAAGGUAAUUGCAUUCUUGGUCUUGAAAUGGAAAACACUCAGAGGAUCAGAGAGGCUACAGUCUCCAGACAUUUGCAAUUUUGGGGGCUGGACAAUGGAACUAAGCAACAGUGAGGCUACGUGUCAGUUUUAUUUGAAUAUGGAUACAGCGUCUCAAUGGCGAAUGCAGGAUCGGUAUACAGAAUUUCCCAGGUGAUUGAUGACACUGUUUGUUGGCAGCUAAGGUAAUUGCAUUCUUGGUCUCGAAAUGGAAAACAAUCAGAGGAUCAGGGGCUACAGUCUCCAGACAUUUGCGAUUGUUGGGGCUGGACAAUGGAACUAAGCAACAGUGAAGCUACGUGUCAGUUUUAUUUCAAUAUGGAUGCAACGUUGGUUGGAAAAUGCAGGUUUGUUGGCUUUUGGCUCCUCCAGCAUGUGGAAAUCUAUAAACAUCGGAAUAUUCAUACUUGUUUCAGAAACAAAUGCUGUUCUUUGACAGAACUCUGCACGCUAUGGCCAUUUUGUCGCAUUUCCGAGCGAAAAAAUGGAGAUCUCUCGACGAGUAUCAGGAAUUGCUCGGUCCAGUCGACACGCUCGUGUUUCUGAGGCCGUAAUAUAGAACGUAGAAUUAUCAAGAUAUUUCGAUGGUUCCGAGUCGUGUCUUGAUUGAGUCGACGGAUUUGAGUCGCUGCGAACAAACUACGUGAAAAUAAGAUUGCUGCAGACAUUUGGAAAGCGAAGAAUACAGCUCCUUCGGGUCGAGAAAGCACGAUUGAUAUUCUGCGCUUUGGUUUCUUACACAUUUUGAGCCCAGAAAUCCGACUGUGCUCGCCAAAAUGUCUUGCUCAUCGAAUUGAUCGAGUGAUAGCAAAUCUCCCACUGUAAUGAGCAGAGAAAUUAAAUUAACUCUGUAGCUUUAAGUCGUGGCUUACUCAAUUCGACGGAUUCAUGUUCUUAAGUUCGAAAAUCUCAGAAUAAGUUAUUUUAAAACAUUUGAAACAUAUGCUGUAUUAUGCUAGCAAGAUUACAGAAUCGCCGAGACCCUGGUCUUCGUUUCUAUUGAUUUGAGAGUCGAUAAUGAACUCUAGUUCCUAAAGUUUUGGCUUUUCCACACAUUUAAGGCUCAAAAAUGAUGGUAAUACUCAUCCUCUGUUUAAAUUAAUUGACUGCUGUACUCUACUGCUUUGAGAAGUCAAAAAAUUGUAAUAUCUUGAUAGCUCUCAGUCGUUGUUCAAUUUUCUAACCAGAUUCUAGUUUCCAAGAUCAAAAUAAAUACAACUACUGCU